CACGCUAUGACUUUUCUAUAGGUGUCCAGCAUGAAAUGGUGAAAAUCAAGCUAAACAGGAUAUGCUUACCCAUAAACUGGAUGUGUUAUUUGGGGUUGCAAGAAUUGCUAACGUUUCUUCGCAAUCCAUUGCUGUUAAAAAUAAUUUAAUGACCCUCCAAAUUAGAUGUCUAUAAUUGUUAAUACUUCUUUUACUGAGGAUAUAGUCUGCUUGCUAAAUAAUUCUUUUGUAUGAAUUCCUUCUCCCUGUUUUCUUUUUUUCUUUUUCUUUUUUGGUUGAGGCUGAGGUGGUUGCUUGGCUUUGGGUUUUUUUUUUUUUUUUUAGAAUUUAGUACAUGAAUACAGUGUUUACAUCACUCACCCCUCCUCUUCCCCCCCCCAAUUUGUUCCCAUGAUCCUCUUCAUACUCCUGACUUCCUCUUCUUUAUUACUGUUACAUGCAUGCACACAUUUUAUACAUACACACACACACAUCACACACCACACAGUCUACUACGUUCGUUCAGUGUUGCUUAUAUGAAUAUGUGUUUAGGAUUUACCACUUGGGAUUAGGUGAGCUAUCAGGAAGCUCAUGCCUAGGGCAGCCCAUUUCUCCCUCUCUCUGCAGCCAUCGAUUGCUGUAGCUCUUCACCUAAGGGUAAGGCUCUGUGAGAUGAGUUCUUUCAUUUUAUAGAGCAUAUGUACUUCCAACGGAAGGGAAGUCACAGUCCUUCAGUUUGUAACGCAAAGCCGAAGCACAGGUUGCUAAUUUUUUUGUCAUGUUUGUAUGUUAAGUAAACUUGAUUUAUGUUUCUUAAUAAGUGAAUGGUAACGACUGAUGCUGAACUGCUAACCAAAUACUUCUUCCUUUAAAAAUGCAAGACGUCUUUGACUGCCCCACACCACACCCCACACCCUGUUGAAGCUCAAACCUCUCAAACUGCUUUGCAGAUAGUGACAAACAUUAAAGCCUUUUUCUCCAGGUACUCUUAAGAAUUUAUUAGCUACCAGAGCGAUUGUGUGCUAUCAGUAAAUGAAAAAAAUAAAAUUCAGGGAUAUGUUUAAAAUCCUACUUGCUAAGAGUCUAAUUUUUUUCAGGGACUGAACACAAAUUUUCAACUGGAAAUGUCCCCCUCUUCAGAGGAGGUGUGAAGGCCCUAACUCUGACCCUUGUCCUACCUCAUCCUUCACUUCAGGCUCCCAGAAAAUCUGUUUAUUUGUAAAGCCACCUUGCUCUGGAGAUAAGGAUGGAUUGAAGAUAUCACCUGCCUGGGUGUAUUUUGUACAGUAGCACAGCCCUUCCGUUAGCCUUAUCCCCCUGACCUUUCUUAGCAACUAGAAGUCUCGGGCCUUUCAUACAAGCACCAGACAUCACGGGCCACCUAAACAUACAGAGCUGCAUGACAUGAUCUUCAGACUCCCUCAUCCCUGGUUUAGGGAGAGAGAUCAUGGGACACGGGGACACGGGGUCGUGUGAGGGAAGCAGGCCAUUUCCAUCACGGGCAACCCACUCUGCUGGGCUACAGCGCACUGUCCUCCACAGUGAUGAGCUCGGAAGAAGGUGUUUGCCCUGAAGCGUGUCCCUUAAACGUGGUAAUUAUUUUUCUUCAAAGGGAAAAGGCAGUCAGUAUCAUUCGCUGGCUCACCAGCUUUUUCUCCUUGAUGACAACAGUGAGUUCGGCCUGAUUUCCUAUUCUCCACAAUCACUGAGCAGAGAAGAAGCAGCCAUUAGCAGGGGUUCCCAGUUGACCUCCAGCUAAAUUGUUGUUCCUUUCCCUUUUUGCCUUUCUUUCAGACUGAGAGGGGGAGGAGAGAGCAGCUCUAUCUAAAACGGGGAGGUAAAGGGAAGCAAGCAGGUGCAGGCUGUCUGACAAAGGAUGGAAGAAUCUUGAGGGGACAGUGUUCUUAAUCUGACGGCUCUUCUAGCUGUCCUGGCUUUUGAGUGUGUGAAUAGAAAAAUGAGUUAUUACAGCUGUUCAGCCCAGGAAUGAAGUCAGUAAGCGAUGAACUAUAAGUCUAUUGUCCUACAGUUCUUGAAUUUUUUGAGUCUGUAUUACUUAAUAUUUUUUAAUUCAAGGC
rnacentral:lncRNA from 1 species